UUUCCGUAGGCGAACCUGCGGAAGGAUCAUUAUUGUAUAGCCGAGGUGCGAGGGCUGUCGCUGACCCGAAAGGUCGUGCACGCCCGAGUGCCCUCACACACAUCCAUCUCACCCCUAUGUGCACCACCGCGUGGGUCCCCCUUUGGCUUGUUCGGAGGGGGGCUUACGUUUUCACACAAACUUUGUAUGCAGUGUAGAAUGUAUUUUUUGUUUUUGCGAUCACGCAAUCAAUACAACUUUCAACAACGGAUCUCUUGGCUCUC
rnacentral:misc_RNA from 1 species